GCAUAUCAAUAAGCGGAGGAAAAGAAACCAACAGGGAUUGCCUCAGUAACGGCGAGUGAAGCGGCAACAGCCCAGAUUUGAAAUCUGACUUUCGGGUCCGAGUUGUAAUCUGCAGAUGAGUCUUCCGGCAGAGCGCCGUCCAAGUGCCCUGGAACGGGUCGCCGGAGAGGGUGAGAGCCCCGUACCGACGCGCGCCGAGCCUCUGUGAAGCUCAUUCGAAGAGUCGAGUAGUUUGGAAAUGCUGCUCUAAUUGUGGGGUAAAUCUCCCAUAAGGCUAAAUACCGGCCAGAGACCGAUAGCGCACAAGUAGCGUGAGCGAAAGAUGAAAAGAGCCUUGAACAAGGGCGUCAAAAAGCAUGUGAAAUUGUUGUGGGGGAAGCGUUCGAUGCCAGACAUGGCGGCGGUUGGUUACCCGGCGUUCUUCGCCGGCGCACUCUGCCGUCGCCAGGCCAGCAUCAGUUCGGAUCGAGGCCUACUGCCAGUGGGAACGUGGCUCCUCCGGGAGUGUUAUAGCCCAUUGGUAACGUCUCGGACCGGACUGAGGACCGCGCUUCGGCUCGGAUGCUGGCGUAAUGGCCUCUAGCGACCCGUCUUGAAACACGGACCAAGGAGUUGACCUAGCGUGCGAGUGUUUGGGUGUCAAGCCCUUACGCGCAGUGAAAGCGAAUGCAGGUGGGAGCUUCGGCGCACCAUCGACCGAUCCUGAAGUUUACGGAUGGAUUUGAGUAAGAGCACGUUGGGUCUGACCCGAAAGAAGGUGAACUAUGCAUGAAUAGGGUGAAGCCAGAGGAAACUCUGGUGGAGGCUCGCAGCGGUUCUGACGUGCAAAUCGAUCGUCAAAUUUGUGCAUGGGGGCGAAAGACCAAUCGAACCUUCUAGUAGCUG
rnacentral:rRNA from 1 species